AGAGUUUGAUCCUGGCUCAGAUUGAACGCUGGCGGCAGGCCUAACACAUGCAAGUCGAGCGGUAACAGAUCUAGCUUGCUAGAUGCUGACGAGCGGCGGACGGGUGAGUAACGCGUAGGAAUUUGCCUAGUAGUGGGGGAUAGCCCAGAGAAAUUUGGAUUAAUACCGCAUACACUCUACGGAGAAAAGCAGGGGAUCUUAGGACCUUGCGCUAUUGGAGAAGCCUGCGUCGGAUUAGCUAGUUGGUGGGGUAAAGGCCCACCAAGGCGACGAUCCGUAGCUGGUCUGAGAGGAUGAUCAGCCACACUGGGACUGAGACACGGCUCAGACUCCUACGGGAGGCAGCAGUGGGGAAUAUUGGACAAUGGGCGAAAGCCUGAUCCAGCCAUGCCGCGUGUGUGAAGAAGGCUCUAGGGUUGUAAAGCACUUUAAGCUGGGAGGAAAGGGUGUAAAUUAAUACUUUGCAUCUGUGACGUUACCAGCAGAAUAAGCACCGGCUAACUCCGUGCCAGCAGCCGCGGUAAUACGGAGGGUGCAAGCGUUAAUCGGAAUUACUGGGCGUAAAGCGCGCGUAGGUGGUUGUGUAAGUGGAAUGUGAAAGCCCCGGGCUCAACCUGGGAAUUGCAUACCAAACUGCACAACUAGAGUACGAUAGAGGGGGGUAGAAUUUCAGGUGUAGCGGUGAAAUGCGUAGAGAUCUGAAGGAAUACCAGUGGCGAAGGCGGCCCCCUGGAUUGAUACUGACACUGAGGUGCGAAAGCGUGGGUAGCAAACAGGAUUAGAUACCCUGGUAGUCCAUGCCGUAAACGAUGUCAACUAGCCGUUGGAAUCCUUAGACUUCUUAGUGGCGCAGUUAACGCGAUAAGUCGACCGCCUGGGGAGUACGGCCGCAAGGUUAAAACUCAAAUGAAUUGACGGGGGCCCGCACAAGCGGUGGAGCAUGUGGUUUAAUUCGAUGCAACGCGAAGAACCUUACCAGGUCUUGACAUCCUGCGAACUUUCUAGAGAUAGAUUGGUGCCUUCGGGAACGCAGUGACAGGUGCUGCAUGGCUGUCGUCAGCUCGUGUCGUGAGAUGUUGGGUUAAGUCCCGUAACGAGCGCAACCCUUGUCCUUAGUUGCCAGCAAUUCGGUUGGGGACUCUAAGGAGACUGCCGGUGACAAACCGGAGGAAGGUGGGGACGACGUCAAGUCAUCAUGGCCCUUACGACCUGGGCUACACACGUGCUACAAUGGUCGGUACAGAGGGUUGCUAUACCGCGAGGUGGAGCUAAUCUCAGAAAACUGUUCGUAGUCCGGAUUGCACUCUGCAACUCGAGUGCAUGAAGUCGGAAUCGCUAGUAAUCGCGGAUCAGAAUGUCGCGGUAAAUACGUUCCCGGGCCUUGUACACACCGCCCGUCACACCAUGGGAGUGGGUUGCAAAAGAAGUGGGUAGUCUAGCCUUCGGGAGGGCGCUCACCACUUUGUGAUUCAUGACUGAGGUGAAGUCGUAACAAGGUAGCCCUAGGGAA
rnacentral:rRNA from 1 species